GUCUACGGCCAUGCCACCCUGAGCAAGCCCCAUGUCUGAUCUCGGAAGCUAAGCAGGGUCGGGCCUGGUUAGUACUUGGAUGGGAGACCACCUAGGAAGACCAAGUGCUGUAAGCA
rnacentral:rRNA from 1 species